AAAUGGAAGAUCAACCAUGUUACUGUCAUAAUGAUAUCCAAGAUAUAGACACUGGAAAUGUCGCAAUAUGCUUGUGCAAUCACACCCUUCCUACCUUGGUAGGAACACAAUGUCCAAUCAAAGAAGAACUUACAAAAACGGCAGACAACAGAAUUGCAUACAAGUCCACCCUACAAGUCCCUGUGAAUUACCUGUUACAACAGAAACCACAACAUUAUUUGUCUUGCAACCAGAAUUACUGUCAAAACACCUUCCAGCCAAUCAGAAUCAAGAAUUCAACAACACUAUGGCUAGACAGAGAAGGAGAGCCAUUGUUUGCCCGAGAAACCUGACAACGAGAUGACUUCUUGACCAGGUGUCGUCUUACUCCAGGAUUGUCUUCAAACCGGUGACCUGCAAACAAGCAUAAAGUUUAAAGCAAAUGAAAUGAGGAAAAAAAUAAGCAUGUUAGUGGUAACACCAUAAAUGUUCUCAUUAUAAACAUGUUUUGACUGAAAGAUUAUUUAAUUAAAGCUUUCACUUGAGCAAAAGAACACAGAUUAGUGAACAGAGAAACAUAGUCACUGUUGGCCAAAGGAAUCUACAAGGCAGAACGAAUUAUUUUGUGCGGUUAAAGCCACAGGCUUCUCCAAAAACUGGCUCUGAUUUAAUAUUAUAUCACUUCAACCCACAAACCAAGGUUCUUAUUAAAUUUGGGAUAAUUGAAGGCCCAAAGUCAUGCAUUCUCCCAGUAGCAGAGAGCUGAGGGGCCUGAGGCAUCAGGCCAUGCCAGGCCACAAUAGACCCUUGCUGUUUUAGGUUGUCACAGUAGCUGCAGGACGUGCCAUAAACAAAAGUAAAAUUCUGUUCCUCUUUCUUCAACUACAUUCUGUUCCCUGUAUUUCUGACCCUGAGAUCUAUAACUCCAGUCCAACCCUCAAACAAUCUCCCCCAAACCCCAGAGUCCACUCAUUCCUAACUUCGCUCCUUUUUACACAGGGAGACUCCUGACAAACAUAGCAGCCAUGCCUUUUGGCUGGACUCUGCGUGAGCUGGUGUGGUAGCAGAGCAGCAGUCCUGAAAAAAAGAUUUCAGGCCAAGUUGAGUGAAAAUGUUAGAGGGUGAAACCAACUCGAGCCAUAACUGCAUAUUAAACCCACUCUAGAAUUGUUUGAAGGCCCUCUAUAAUAGGCUAUAGCUCAUAUAAACUAAUUCACUCUCUUUUUUCAAAUCCUGCUUAUCAGGUUAUGUGUUUUAUUAUUAAAGUAUAUAGUGUAUGCUGUGUAGAAACGUGUAUAUAUAGACAGAGAGUAUGUUCAGACCAAAAGGUUAAGUCAGAUAUUUUGGCAUAUCUGAAUUAAGCAGGAAGAAACUGGCAAGAAGAAGAACAACAUGGAUGCAAAACUGGAUGAAUGUGAAUGAUGACAGAUGAGUACUUGGAUCUUCAAUGGACAUUGACCUUAUGUUACAUUGCCCAAAUCUUGCCCAAAUGUUGAUAGCUAGCUAACUAGCUAACAUUUGAUUGCCUCAUACUACUCACUAUGUGGGUCAGCGUCAUUGGUAUUAGCAACCAAGGUGUACAUGCAAGCAAAUGUGACUAUGAUCAAACAACUUUGCAUUCAAUUUUGCAUUCAUUCCUUCAUUUAUUCCUUUUAAGUAAACGCUUUAUCUUGAUCAGGGUUGAAGUGAAUCUGGAGUCUAUUGCAGAAACAGUGGGUAAGAGGUGGGAAUACAGCCUGAAUGGGACACCAGUCCAUUGCAAGGCAUCACACAUGUUAUUGGGAGG